GUGUUGGUCUAGUUAAAAAAUAGGGUGUGUAUUUCUAUUCCUAUUAAAUCAGUAUGUUCUCAUUGAUGCAUUUAAGUUGCAUGUUUACCAGCCAUACAUCAUUAUCAUCAUCAUCACCAGACGAUAUUAAAUGAUAGAAAGGCAUGAUAUCAACUAAAGUUUUUAAAGCAUGCUUUCUAAUUAGUUGCUGUAAGGUUUAGUAUUUAUUUG
rnacentral:lncRNA from 1 species